UACGUAGGGGGCAAGCGUUGUCCGGAUUUACUGGGUGUAAAGGGUGCUCAGGCGGGUUUUUAAGUCAGGGGUGAAAUCCCGGAGCUCAACUCCGGAACUGCCUUUGAUACUGAGAGCCUCGAGUGCGGGAGAGGGUAAUGGAAUAUCUGGUGUAGCAGUGAAAUGCGUAGAUAUCAGAUAGAACACCAAUGGCGAAGGCAGUUACCUGGUCCGUCACUGACGCUAAAGCACGAAAGUGUGGGGAGCAAACAGG
rnacentral:rRNA from 1 species